rnacentral:lncRNA from 1 species
GGGUGGGGCUGCAGGCCUGGCUGGCAGGUGCCUGGUGCUGGAGGACAAGGCCCAGGGUGGGAGGCCAGGGAAGCUUCCAGCAGAGUGCUUUUACAACCUGUUUAGUGCCAUCCUUAAGACAAGCGCAUGCACACACACGCACACACACACAAAACAACGGUUUCACAAAACAAUACUUACACUCUCAACACUCUGUUGUGUUUCUCAUUUUGUCCUAAUUCAUUGCUUAAAAUACCGGUUGCCUACCGAUGGUUGUGUUUACUGUCAUUUUCUCUGCUUGACAAGCACUGUUCCAGGAGAGACGUGGUCUGUGUUGAAUUUGGGAGGAUAAAUUGGAGCUGUCACACCAGAGGUCGGAGGGCACGGUGAUGGUGGGCAGUGGGGAGCACUCGGAGCAGGGGGGCAGCGAGACAGGAGCACGUACGUCGUGAAUGUGGCGGGUGUUGACCAAGUUCCUGGAGGCUGCCGCUGACACCAAUGAUCCCACGAGGAAGAGGAAAGGGAGCAGAGCCCGCGCUGCCUAUAGCUUGGAAUCUGAGGGUGCUGGAGAGUCUGGAAGCCAGCGAGCCGGAGAGGGCCGGGCCAACGGGACGGCUCCUGGGAGCAAUGCUACAGGCGACCACCACUGGCCCAGGCAUCGUCCCCGACACGAGAGCCACGGCCAGCUGCUCUGGUGACAAACACCGUUACUGUCUUUCCGUCUGCGGCCCAUGACCUCACAGCGGUUACGAUUUCUGUGAGUACGUUGCAUUCGCGUCUUCAACCUCUGCUGAGUUUUCUCCUCGCGGGUUUGCCUCCUUAUUCUUGGUUAUUCAG